rnacentral:tRNA from 1 species
GGAGGCGUGCCCGAGCGGCCGAAGGGAACGGUCUUGAAAACCGUCGUGAGGUAACCCCUCACCGUGGGUUCAAAUCCCACCGCCUCCGCCG